rnacentral:rRNA from 1 species
UACAGAGGCUGCAAGCGUUAUUCGGAUUCACUGGGCGUAAAGGGUGCGCAGGCGGCCAAGUGAGUGAGGCGUGAAAGCCUGGAGCUUAACUCCAGAAUUGCACCUCAAACUACAUGGCUAGAGCAUUGGAGAGGGUAGCGGAAUUCACGGUGUAGCAGUGAAAUGCGUAGAUAUCGUGAGGAACACCAGAGGCGAAGGCGGCUACCUGGACAAUUGCUGACGCUCAGGCACGAAAGCGUGGGGAGCAAACGGG